GGUUCAUGCCAUUCUCCUGCCUCAGCCUCCCGAAUAGCUGGGACUACAGGCGCCCUCCACCACGCCCAGCUAAUUUUUGUAUUUUUAGUAGAGACGGGAUUUCAUUGUGUUAGCCAGGAUGGUCUGGAUCUCCUGACCUCGUGAUCCACCCACCUCGGCCUCCCAAAGUGCUGGGAUUACAGGCGUGAGCCACUGCGCCCGGUCACUUCAAUUACUCUUUAACUUUACACUUAAGCACAGAAAUAUUACAUAUUGCAGUCUUGAAAACAUUAUGAUAAAUCAAAUAGACCCUAUGAUAUAUGAUAUAUUAAAUACUUAAGUUUUGGAAAUGUCCUCUGUAUCCAAAAUAUUUCCAUUGUUAACAAGUGCUUUUCAAAAAAUAUUUUUAUUAUACGUUAAAAAGAGCCAAUUUAGGGUCUAUACUAUCUUUGUUUAUCUUGUUUUCUUUUUUGCAUGUUCCUCUACUAAUGUAGAUUAGCACUAAAAGAAAAAAAGUAUCCAGCAUCAUAACCUUGUAAUUAAUUCCCCCAUAUCAAAUUAUAUGAAAAAUUCCACCUCAGACACUCUGCCAAAGGGUAUGGAACAAUUAAUCAAGAUGAAGUGCUUCAAUUGAAGCAGUAUAUUCUCACCUCUAUAAGUAAUUUUGUCUCACUUUAUUUCAAAGUAGUAUCAUUUUUUGUCCUAGGAUUUCAGUAACAAGUUGUGUUAAAUUCUUGUCAUAUUUAAAAUUAAACCCUCUUAUUAAAUUAUAUUUAAAAUCAAAUUUUCAUUGUGUCAAUGAAAUAGUUCAGUAUACUCUGCAAAGUUUAUAGUAAAGUUCUGAACAAUAAGUACAUUCUGAAAUGUCCUGUACUUUCAAAAGUACAUACUAGAGCUGAUGGCUUAAGCACCAUUAUUUAGUGGCAUUUCUAAUUAUUACUUUCCUUAUGUGGUUUUUUUUAAGAGGUACCAAAAGUUCCUUUUGUUACAUGGCUCAUGUUGUCUUCAGUAACAGCCACUUGAAUUUGCCCAUAGUUGCAAACUCAGAUCAUGAGAGAAAAUACACUCAUAAAAGAACUUUAUUCUGGACAUUUUUCCAGUCUAUGGAAAUGAUGUUAGACAAAGCAAAUUUGAGUGAUUCUCUUAUUCGAGUUCAAAAUGGGUCAUAAAGCAGUGGACACAAUUCGCAACAUGAACAACACAUUUGGCCCAGGGACUGCUAAUGAAGGUACAGUGCGGGGGCGGUUCAAGAAGUUUUGCAAAGGAGAUGAGAGCCUUGAAGAUGAGAAGCAUAGUGGCUGGUCAUAGGAAGUUGACAGCAACCAGCUGAGAGCAAUCAUCAAAGCUGAUCCUCUCACAACACCACAAGAAGUUGCAGAACUCGGUGUUGACCGUUCCACGGUCAUUCGGCCUUUGAAGCAAACUGAGAAGGUGAGAACGCUAGAUAAGUGGGAUGCCCUAUGAGCUGAGCCAAAAUAAAAAAAAAAUGUCAUUUUGAAGUGUCAUCUUCUCUUAUUCUAUGCAACAACAAUGAACCACUUUUCUAUUGGAUUGUGAUGUGCAACGAAAUGUAGAUUUUAUAUGACAACCAGUGAUGACCAGCUCAAUAAUUGGAUCCAGCAGAAGCUUCAAGCACUUCCCAUAGCCAAACUUGCACCAAAAAAAAGGUCAUCAUCAUUGUUGGGUGCUCUGCUGCCAGCCUGAUUUACUACAGCUUUCUGAAUCCUAAUGAAACCAUUACAUCUGAGACGUAUGCUCAGCAAAUCGAUGAGAUGCCCUGAAAACUGCAAUGCCUGCAGCCAACACUGGUCAUCAGAAAAGGCCCAAUUAUUCCCCAUGACUACACCUGACCACAUGUCGCACAACCAACUCAUCAAAAGUUGAACAAAUUGGGCUACAAAUUUUUGCCUCAUCCACCUUAUUCACCUGACCUCUCACCAACUGACCUCACACCUCUCUACCACUUUUUCAAGCAUCUCAACAACUUUUUGCAAGGAAAAUGCUUCCACAACUAGCAGGAUGCAGAAAAUGCUUUCCAAGAGUUCAUCGAAUCCUGAAGCACAUAUAUUUUUUUUACGCCUCAGGAAAAACAAACUUAUUUGUUUCUUUGGCAAAAAUGUGUUGAUUGUAAUGGUUAUUUUGAUUAAUAAGGAUGUGUUUAUGC